GCCGGGUGUGGUGGCGCACGCCUGUAAUCCCAGCUACUCGGGAGGCUGAGGCAGGAGAAUUGCUUGAACCCGGGAGGCAGAGGUUGCAGUGAGCCAAGAUUGCACUACUGCACUCCAGCCUGGGCGACAGAGUGAGACUCUGCCUCAA
rnacentral:SRP_RNA from 1 species